CCCUUAAACAAUACUGAGUAAUUCUAUAUAAAUAUAGAAAAUUUUAUGUUAAAACUAGUAACAAGAAGAAGAACUUCUCCUACAAUGCAAACGUAAAUCAGACAGGACACCCCACUGAUAAUUAACACCAAUGAAAAUAAAGUAGUAACUUAACAAGAAAACUCUACUAAACUAUAUGUUAACCUAACACCAGAGCAUUACAAGAAAGAUUAAAAAAAAGAGAAGGAACUCGGCAAAUAUUAACCUCGCCUGUUUACCAAAAACAUCGCCUCUUGCCUAAAUAUAAGAGGUCCAGCCUGCCCAGUGACUCUGUUCAACGGCCGCGGUAUCCUAACCGUGCGAAGGUAGCGUAAUCACUUGUUCUUUAAAUGAGGACUGGUAUGAAUGGCACCACGAAGGUUAUACUGUCUCCUCUUUUUAAUCAGUGAAACUAAUCUCCCCGUGAAGAAGCGGGGAUCAACAUAUAAGACGAGAAGACCCUAUGGAGCUUUAAACUAUGUAACACUUGUACUAACCCUAAUACAAAUUCCAGAAAAAUCCUCUACAUCUAUGCAAGAUUGUUGCCAGUUUUAGGUUGGGGUGACCACGGAGCAAAAAACAACCUCCACAUUGAAAGGACCUUACUCCUUAACCAAGAGCCACACCUCCACGUAUCAUUACAAUGACAUUAAUUGACCCAAUAUAUUGAUCAACGAACCAAGUUACCCUAGGGAUAACAGCGCAAUCCACUUCAAGAGCUCCUAUCGACAAGUGGGUUUACGACCUCGAUGUUGGAUCAGGGUAUCCCAGUGGUGCAGCCGCUACUAAAGGUUCGUUUGUUCAACGAUUAAAACCCU
rnacentral:rRNA from 1 species